AUCAGAAUCCCCUAGAAGGCUUAUUAAAGCACAGAGAAUCAGAUUCAGUAAAGCUUGGUGAGGCCUGAGAAUCUGCAUUUCUAACAAAUUCACAGGGGAUGUCAGU
rnacentral:pre_miRNA from 1 species